UACGUAGGGACCAAGCGUUGUUCGGAUUUACUGGGCGUAAAGCGCGUGUAGGCGGCUUUGCAAGUCGGGUGUGAAAGCCCUCAGCUCAACUGAGGAAGUGCGCCCGAAACUGCAGAGCUUGAGUGCCGGAGAGGGUGGCGGAAUUCCCCAAGUAGAGGUGAAAUUCGUAGAUAUGGGGAGGAACACCGGUGGCGAAGGCGGCCACCUGGACGGUAACUGACGCUGAGACGCGAAAGCGUGGGGAGCAAACAGG
rnacentral:rRNA from 1 species